rnacentral:rRNA from 1 species
GAUGAACGCUGGCGGCGUGCCUAAUACAUGCAAGUCGAGCGAACAGACGAGGAGCUUGCUCCUCUGACGUUAGCGGCGGACGGGUGAGUAACACGUGGAUAACCUACCUAUAAGACUGGGAUAACUUCGGGAAACCGGAGCUAAUACCGGAUAAUAUAUUGAACCGCAUGGUUCAAUAGUGAAAGACGGUUUUGCUGUCACUUAUAGAUGGAUCCGCGCCGCAUUAGCUAGUUGGUAAGGUAACGGCUUACCAAGGCAACGAUGCGUAGCAGACCUGAGAGGGUGAUCGGCCACACUGGAACUGAGACACGGUCCAGACUCCGACGGGAGGCAGCAGUAGGGAAUCUUCCGCAAAGGGCGAAAGCCUGACGGAGCAACGCCGCGUAAGUGAUGAAGGUCUUCGGAUCGUAAAACUCUGUUAUUAGGGAAGAACAAAUGUGUAAGUAACUAUGCACGUCUUGACGGUACCUAAUCAGAAAGCCACGGCUAACUACGUG